ACAUCAAAUUCUGCUUUCAAAAUGCACAUGCCUUCAAACAGGGAAUGAGGGUUUUGUUCUCAUCUCUCAACGGUACUCAAAUCAGCCCUCAACGGUACUCAAUCCAUAACCUUGCGAUGAGAUCAGAUCAACGAUUGGCAGGGAAUGGUGUAAUGUUACCGUUGAAAAAAGCACCUGUCACCUCUUCUAUAUAUGGGCAAUUUAUUCGAGAAACAGAGCAGAUUGUUUCCUAUUCUGUUCUUUUUGUUUGUUUUGUUUGUCUUUCGUUUCAUGUUUAUGGCAUGGCCAUGCCUCCUAUGUUUUUCAUUUUUCCUGUGCUUGGAUUUUUCUUUUCUCAGUUUUCAUGGUAGUUUGUAUAUUUCUUUUUUUCCUUGGAUGGUGAUUGGAGGAGGGCAACAAUGAGGAGAAGUAUACAUCCUAGGGAGCGGCUGGUUGGAGUUACAGCGAAGAAAAGACUAUUUGCAGGUUGAGCAUCUAAACUAAAUCAUGACCAAAUGUGGUUUUCAGAAUAAAGAUUGCAGAGUGAAGGUGCAUAUUGCAGGCUAUGGUAUCUGAUGUCAGGAGGCUAUGGUAUCUGAUGUCAGGGCUUUUUUUUCAGCUUGCAUGAAUGCAAAAUUUUGAUUGGACAUUUUACUUUCUUGAAUGACUUAAUAUGCCUGCAAAAUCUGUAAUAGAGAGGCCUAUCAUUGUAACACUUACAGGCUGUAAUCUCAGAUUCCCCAUAUCUGACCUUAAAGUCUUUUGUCUUUGGUCUGAGGAAUGGGCUUGAGUUGCACAAAUACAACCCCUUGAUAAGUGAGGCCUUAAUCUUUGAGCUUUACCAAGAUCUAGUUUUAAGCUGUCCCUGGUCCUUGGUGAAGGCCUCAAGAAAGACAUCCCAGUCCUUUUCCUUUGCCCUCAGGUAUGAAUGAUCUCAAGUAAGGGUUACACAAGCUUUUACUUUGUGUGUACAAUACACACAAGUAAGAAUAAGCCCGGAUCAGCAUACUUACCUUUAAUGAUGUGUACAAGUACACACAAGUAAGAAUCAGCAUACUUACCUUUAAUGAUGUGUAUCCAAUCUACUGAUCUAAGAAUUUAUCCUAUUUAACAACCUUGUAAAUACCUUUUCUGGCAUUAUGGUUAUAAAUCCCAAAUAUGUCCUAAACGCAUGAAUGAUUUGUAUUUUCUUGUAUACAAAUUUAGGUAUCUUGAUAUGUUUGUCCUCAAAAAGUGCUAAAAAUCCUCAGUUUUGCAUUUCAAUUCGUGGCAACUUCUGAUCUGAUCAUGCUGAUAACAAAUUUUAGGUAUUAUGGUAUAUUUGUCCUCGAAAACUGCUAAAAAUCUUCAGUUUUUGCAUGUCGUUCAAAAUUAUGGUACAUGAAUCCAAUUAGUAAUUCAGGACUGCAUUUUAUCAAAUACGGACAUAAUAUAUGUUGUAAGAAAGCUCUGAAAGCACAUUUUCUAAUGGUUCAACUCCUUGUGCUGUGAAUGAGCUUUGGACUUAAUGUUAACCAGACUUUUUCUAAUUAAACAUUUCAUUGUCUGGUGAAAUUAAAGAAACAAAAAAUCAAGCUCCAUUAAUAGAUUAUGCAGGGAGGAGUAAGGAGAAAAGGUUAUGGGCUACAAAUCAAAUGUACAUCGAGUGUUGCUUGCAAUGUAACCUGGUCGUAUAGCCUAGUUGGAGGUUGCUUAGAGCUAUUAGCUCAAACUCAACAUUAUUUGUUCGUAUGUCUUCUGCAAAUAUUGAGAAUGUGGCCUUUGAAUAUGUAGUGCAUGUGCAAGAUUGUUUUUUAACAUUUGUGUGUCAAGUGCUUCCAAUUAAAGAAAAUUGUCAAGUGCUUCCAAUAAAACAAAUUGAAGUUUUUGCAGGAAAUAAAACUGAAAUGAACUACUACGAUGAUUCUGCAAGAAAGUACGUGUGCAAGAUGUUUUUAACAUGGACAUAAAGUUGUUUUAAAUUUUUAAAAUUAGAAAUGUAUGUGUUUAUGACCAUUUCUUUGUAUUGCAAUUGAGGGAGUUAACAAGAGGUUCAAAUAUUGCUGCAACCAACAACCAUAAAAAUCACACAUUAAAGUAUGAAUAAAAAUGGUAACUUGUGUGAUGGACAAAUUGCUUCUUUUUUUAUAUUUCAAUGUCCUGAUUUUUUUAUGCUUUGAGAUGUAUAUAAGGGUAAUUGUUGUGUACAAAAUUGACCUAAGCACAAAGCAAGUUGAGAUGUAUAUAAGGUAUUUGCUAGAUCAUCCCCUAGUCCUUCAAAUGCACGUACUUGAUGUAUGUUGUGGAGCUGGCAAUUGCUCCCAUUCAGCCCUUUGGUCCUUUAGAUGCAUGUACUCACAUUUUUCAAAUCCAUGGUGUAUUAGAUUUAUAUGCUAUUAAUUUUUUCA